UACGUAGGGUGCGAGCGUUAAUCGGAAUUACUGGGCGUAAAGCGUGCGCAGGCGGUUUUGUAAGUCAGAUGUGAAAUCCCCGGGCUCAACCUGGGAACUGCGUUUGAAACUACAAGGCUAGAGUGUAGCAGAGGGGGGGUAGAAUUCCACGUGUAGCAGUGAAAUGCGUAGAGAUGUGGAGGAAUACCAAUGGCGAAGGCAGCCCCCUGGGUUAACACUGACGCUCAUGCACGAAGCGUGGGGAGCAAACAGGAUUGAGAAACCC
rnacentral:rRNA from 1 species